UCUCCGUAGGUGAACCUGCGGAAGGAUCAUUACUGAGUGAGGGCCCCUCGGGGUCCAACCUCCCACCCGUGUUUAACGAACCUUGUUGCUUCGGCGGGCCCGCCGCACGGCCGCCGGGGGGCAUCUGCCCCCGGGCCCGCGCCCGCCGAAGCCACCUGUGAACGCUGUCUGAAGUAUGCAGUCUGAGACAAUUAUUAAAUUAAUUAAAACUUUCAACAACGGAUCUCUUGGUUCCG
rnacentral:misc_RNA from 1 species